GGUUUCCCCCGGCUUGGUCCUCCUCCUCUUUCCACUGCCUGGGAAACCGCCCUCGGGUGCUCUCCGGCCUCUGGGACAGACAGGAAAACUCCUCAGCACGGGAGGAUCUUAUUCCCUGACUCGCUUUUGGUUGAAAAGCCAGUCACCAGACCUCAGAGAUCUUUGCAAGGGUUUACAAACUGCAUCUUGUUGUUUUCCAAAGCAGGGGUCUGUGGUCUGUGGUCUGGAUGGACACCGACUGACUGAACCGGCACCUCGCGAUGGGCAUGGAAGACGCUUCCGCCCCCAAGCCCAUCAGAGGGCCGUGGUCAACCCCCCCCCCCGCCCCGUUUACUCAACAGCCCCUCCAAAUCUCCAUCGCCUGCCUCAAGCGGGAUCGUCCUCAUACCGUUCAGUACCCGAAGAGAUCAGAGGCCAGCUAGUCAAGAACUCUCCGUUUCCCACACACCCCCCACCCCCGUUUGAACGUCCCUCUAUUUCUCUCCAUCCACCCCUCCCCUUUCCCUUUGGUUUUCCAGGAAGAGGGAUUCAGCUUGGCAGUUCCAGGGUCCUGGCUCCACGUGGGGUGCCCUGGGAACCAUCUGCUCAGCCUCCCCCAAAGAUCUCGUUCCCUCAGUUUGCCAGCUGCUUUCUCUUCGGCCCGUCUCUUUCCUUAAGCCGCUGAGCACACCCAAGUCUCUCCCAGCAUCCACACCUCUCCUUUCUGCUCCUCCACCACCGCCUUCUCUCUCUACCUUUCACGGCUAAGCUGCUGCCAAAAGACCUCGACUCCUCGUCAGCCAUCCAGUCAUCGCCUUGUCUCUCACCGGCUCCUCGAAAGACUCCCCAAAUCUCGUCGCCGUCACGUCCUAGCAAGAGGCCAGGGCACGCCCUUCGGUUCCUUCAUCUUCCUAAACUCUCUGUGGUGUCUGAGGAAUGCUGCCCACGUCUUCAGUCUCUGCAAGUUCUCUCCACCCUCUUUCUCUGGGGGAUGGCCCCCUCCCCAGGUGCCCUUCCUAACCUCAGACCCUUCUGUCUCACUUUCCUCUGAGGCUUCUCCUCCCGACCACUUCUCAAAGGGUUCUGUUCUCGAAGGCACGGUCUUCAGGGAACAGGAACCCCUCGGGUCUCAGAGCAAGCUCAUGCGCUCCUACGAUUCGACUCGCCCCCAGAUGCCCAGGGCUUCUGAGUGCGUACGACUGACGUCACCCUGCCCCUGACUCCACGCUGCUUUCUCUAACUGUCUGCUGGACGCACCUCUCAGGAUGUCCAAAGGCUUCUCAAAACCGACACGUCCAAAAGGGAGCCCGGUAUCCUCCAACAAAACCCUCCCCCUCCUCUUACCUUCCUUUCAUCACCUCAGAAAACCUCUGCCCAUCUCAUCCCCCCGAGAGCGAGAGGCCUCAGGGCCACGCUUGAGCUCUCUGUCUCACCCACUUCGCAGCCUACCGACUCCCAAAGGGAGCCGAGCGCCUUCCCUUCUUUGCCGUCCCCGCUGCUCUGCCACAUGCCUUCCUGUCUCUUGCAUGCAACCAGCCCAGUAGACUCCUUACUGAUCUUGCCAGCUGGCCUCCUGGCACACCGCCCCGCCCCACUUGAAUCCAUUCUCCGCACUGUUGGGAGGGUGACCCAAGAGGAAAACCCUGCCAUUACUGACACCACGGUGCCCGGCCCCCACAGGGGUGGACGUGGGCAAGAAAGUAACCAAAGUUUCUGAGGUUGUUUUGCAGAACAACAGGAAGACGGCAGAGCAGAGAGCAGCUUGAUGGCAGCCCCCUGGCCCCCGCCUGACUGGACAUCGUGCAGAGGCUUGGACCAGCUGAAAUGAUGGAUCGCCAACUUUCUGCGUCACAGGCAGAGAUCCUCAGCAUGCACCACGUCGAACCCCACUGAGUUCGCACUUGUGACCCAUGAAGAAAUGGGAUCGACCGUUGCACCUGAGCAGAGGACUCUUCAAGCUUCACCUGCAGCGCUCUCCUGAUCCUACCCCUUCCCUCUGGAGGCAAUAUAGUCCUUGUCUACAAAUAUUACUUAAGGCCAUCUAUGCUGUGACCUACAAAUUAGCCCAGCUUCAGCGGGGACCCCCUCCAGCAAAAGACUCUAGAAGCUGUCCUAAUUAAAAUCAACAAGCCAUCCCACUAGAGCCCUCAGAGACUCCUCUGGUGAAGAGGCUUCGGCAACCUCCUCUCAUGCUUCCUGGAAAACCCAGAACGUGGAACAACAGGAAGAUGGCAGAUCAGAGAGCAGCUUGAUGGCAACCCCCGGCCCCCACACGACUGGACAUCGUGCAGACGCUUGGACCAGCUGAAAUGACAGAUUGCCAACUUUCUGUGUCACAAAGAUCCACGGCAUGCAACACGUCGAACCCCACUGACUUCGCACUUGUGACCCACGAAGAAACACAAACGACAGUCGCACCUGAGCAGAGGACUCUUCAAGCUUCACCUGCAGCGCUCUCCUGGUCCCCACCCCUACCCGAAACCGAAACCUCAGCUAUAAACCUCAGCAUUUUUCCUUUGAGUUUUGCGUAGCUACUCUCACCUCCUUGUCUGGCUGCCUCUUGUUCAUAAACCUCUUUCCUUGCUAU